AUUGAACGCUGGCGGCAGGCCUAACACAUGCAAGUCGAGCGAGCGGCGGACGGGUGAGUAAUGUCUGGGAAACUGCCUGAUGGAGGGGGAUAACUACUGGAAACGGUAGCUAAUACCGCAUACCAUCAAAUGUGCCCAGAUGGGAUGAGCUGGUGGGUGGGGUAACGGCUCACCUAGGCGACGAUCCCGAGCUGGUCUGAGAGGAUGACCAGCCACACGGGAACGGGGACACGGUCCAGACUCCAACGGAAGGCAGCAGUGGGGAAUAUUGCACAAUGGGGGCAAGCCUGAUGCAGCCAGGCCGGGUGUGUGAAGAAGGCCUUCGGUUUGUAAAGCACUUUCAGCGGGGAGGCGUUACCCGCAUAAGAAGCACCGGCUAACUCCGUGCCAGCAGCCGCGGUAAUAC
rnacentral:rRNA from 1 species